UACAGAGGGUGCGAGCGUUGUUCGGAAUUACUGGGCGUAAAGCGCGCGCAGGCGGCCUUUUAAGUCUACCCGUGAAAUGCCGGGGCUCAACUCCGAGCGCCGCGGGGGAUACUGGGAGGCUGGAGACAGGUAGAGGCAAGCGGAAUUCCGGGUGUAGCGGUGGAAUGCGUAGAGAUCCGGAAGAACACCUGAGGCGAAGGCGGCUUGCUGGGCCUGGUCUGACGCUGAGGCGCGAAAGCGUGGGGAGCGAACAGGAUUAGAAACCCCCGUAGUCC
rnacentral:rRNA from 1 species